rnacentral:rRNA from 1 species
UAUUGGUCAAUGGACGAAAGUCUGAACCAGCCAUGCCGCGUGGAGGAUGAAGGUCCUCUGGAUUGUAAACUUCUUUUAUAUGGGACGAAAAAAGGCUUUUCUAAGUCGUCUGACGGUACCAUAUGAAUAAGCACCGGCUAACUCCGUGCCAGCAGCCGCGGUAAUACGGAGGAGGCAAGCGUUAUCCGGAAUUAUUGGGCGUAAAGCGUCCGUAGGUGGUUGGACAAGUCAGCUGUUAAAGAGUGGUGCUUAACACCAUAAAGGCGGUUGAAACUGUUUGACUAGAGUUUGGUAGGGGUUGCGGGAAUUCCCAGUGUAGCGGUGAAAUGCGUAGAUAUUGGGAAGAACACCGGUGGCGAAAGCGCGCGACUGGACCUGAACUGACACCGAGGGACGAAAGCUAGGGGAGCGAAA